rnacentral:rRNA from 1 species
CCUACGGGAGGCAGCAGUGGGGAAUUUUGGACAAUGGGCGAAAGCCUGAUCCAGCCAUGCCGCGUGCAGGAUGAAGGCCUUCGGGUUGUAAACUGCUUUUGUACGGAACGAAAAGCCUCUUUCUAAUAAAGAGGGGUCAUGACGGUACCGUAAGAAUAAGCACCGGCUAACUACGUGCCAGCAGCCGCGGUAAUACGUAGGGUGCAAGCGUUAAUCGGAAUUACUGGGCGUAAAGCGUGCGCAGGCGGUUUUGUAAGACAGAGGUGAAAUCCCCGGGCUCAACCUGGGAACUGCCUUUGUGACUGCAAGGCUGGAGUGCGGCAGAGGGGGAUGGAAUUCCGCGUGUAGCAGUGAAAUGCGUAGAUAUGCGGAGGAACACCGAUGGCGAAGGCAAUCCCCUGGGCCUGCACUGACGCUCAUGCACGAAAGCGUGGGGAGCAAACAGGAUUAGAUACCCUGGUAGUCCACGCCCUAAAGGAUGUCAACGGGAUGUUG